UACAGAGGGGGCAAGCGUUGCUCGGAAUCACUGGGCGUAAAGGGCGCGUAGGCGGGAUGGCAAGUCGGUCGUGAAAUCCUUCGGCUCAACCGAAGAACGUCGGCCGAUACUGCCGUUCUUGAGGGAUGCAGAGGAGAUUGGAAUUCCCGGUGUAGCGGUGAAAUGUGUAGAGAUCGGGAGGAACACCGGUGGCGAAGGCGGGUCUCUGGGCAUCUCCUGACGCUGAGGCGCGAAAGCGUGGGGAGCGAACGGG
rnacentral:rRNA from 1 species